UACAGAGGUCUCAAGCGUUGUUCGGAUUCAUUGGGCGUAAAGGGUGCGUAGGUGGCGCCGUAAGUCGGGUGUGAAAUUUCGGAGCUUAACUCCGAAACUGCAUUCGAUACUGCGGUGCUUGAGGACUGGAGAGGAGACUGGAAUUCAUGGUGUAGCAGUGAAAUGCGUAGAGAUCAUGAGGAAGACCAGUGGCGAAGGCGGGUCUCUGGGCCGUAACUGACGCUGAGGAGCGAAAGCAUGGGGAGCGAACAGG
rnacentral:rRNA from 1 species